rnacentral:rRNA from 1 species
GGGGUUUCGCCCCAGUAACGGCGAGUGAAGCGGCAACAGCUCAAAUUUGAAAUCUGGCUUCUUGGGCGUCCGAGUUGUAAUUUGUAGAGGGAGUCUCGGGUUAGGGGUCGGUCCAAGUGCCUUGGAACAGGAUACCGCAGAGGGUGAGAGUCCCGUAUCCGGCCGACGCCCGCGCCCGUGUGAGGCCCCUUCGACGAGUCGAGUUGUUUGGGAAUGCAGCUCUAAAUGGGUGGUAAAUUCCAUCUAAAGCUAAAUACCGGCCAGAGACCGAUAGCGCACAAGUAGAGUGAUCGAAAGAUGAAAAGCACUUUGAAAAGAGAGUCAAACAGUACGUGAAAUUGUUGAAAGGGAAGCGCAUGGGGGCAGACUUGACCGCGGGAUUCAGCCGUCCUUCUGGCGGGUGCACUUCCCCGCGGGCAGGCCAGCAUCGGUUUCGGGGGCCGGACAAAGGCGACGGGAAUGUGGCUCCUCUCGGGGAGUGUUAUAGCCCGGCGUGCAAUGCGGCCACCUGGGACCGAGGACCGCGCUUCGGCAAGGAUGCUGGCGUAAUGGCCUCAUACGGCCCGUCUUGAAACACGGACCAAGGAGUCUAACAUCUAUGCGAGUGUUUGGGUGUCAAGCCCGGGCGCGCAAUGAAAGUGAACGGAGGUGGGAGUCCUCGGACGCACCAUCGACCGAUCCUGAUGUCUUCGGAAGGAUUUGAGUAAGAGCAUAGCUGUUGGGACCCGAAAGAUGGUGAACUAUGCGUGAAUAGGGUGAAGCCAGAGGAAACUCUGGUGGAGGCUCGCAGCGGUUCUGACGUGCAAAUCGAUCGUCAAAUUUGCGUAUAGGGGCGAAAGACUAAUCGAACC